rnacentral:rRNA from 1 species
CACCCGAAGUCGGUGAGGCAACCUUUUGGAGCCAGCCGCCUAAGGUGGGACAAAUGAUUGGGGUGAAGUCGUAACAAGGUAGCCGUAUCGGAAGGUGCGGCUGGAUCACCUCCUUU